rnacentral:misc_RNA from 1 species
GAAGACGUACUGGAGCAGGCUUUUGAAGGUGGAUGUCCAUGGAGACUACACUCCAAGUUAUGACAAGCACACAUGGCACGAUUAUCGUCUCGAACCUGAGUGAUUGAAUAUUAGCACAUUGCUGUAUCCAUCGGGUAAAAACUGCUAAUGAAUUUUGGUCAGAGCUGGCUCUGGCUAACCAAGAUGUGCUCCUUAUUCUUGUGCAAGAAGGAAGUUACCCAAUUUGCU